UACAGAGGUCCCAAGCGUUGUUCGGAUUCACUGGGCGUAAAGGGUGCGCAGGUGGGUUUGCAAGUUCGAUGUGAAAGCCCCGGGCUUAACCCGGGAAUGGCAUUGGAUACUGCAGAUCUGGAGGAUCGGAGGGGGACUGGAAUUCUUGGUGUAGCAGUGAAAUGCGUAGAUAUCAGGAGGAACACCAAUUGCGAAGGCGGGUUGCUGGGCUGAUACUGACGCUAAGGCGCGAAAGCCAGGGGAGCGAACGGG
rnacentral:rRNA from 1 species